rnacentral:rRNA from 1 species
CGGACGGGUGAGUAACGCGUGGGUAACCUGCCCUGUACAGGGGGAUAACAGUCAGAAAUGACUGCUAAUACCGCAUAAGACCACAGCACCGCAUGGUGCAGGGGUAAAAAACUCCGGUGGUACAGGAUGGAUCCGCGUCUGAUUAGCUGGUUGGUGAGGUAACGGCUCACCAAGGCGACGAUCAGUAGCCGGCUUGAGAGAGUGAACGGCCACAUUGGGACUGAGACACGGCCCAAACUCCUACGGGAGGCAGCAUG